UAGGAACCGUGAGAUUAAGCCAUCGCGGCAGGUGCUCACGUUAAGCCCACUGACUUUCAUGUCCCUAUCUACUAUCUAGCGAAACCACAGCCAAGGGAACGGGCUUGGAAUAAUUAGCGGGGAAAGAAGACCCUUUUGAGCUUGACUCUAAUCUGGCAGUGUAAGGAGACAUAAGAGGUGUAGAAUAAGUGGGAGAUAUUAGACUUCGGUUUGGUAUCGACAAUGAAAU
rfam:Drosophila virilis strain TSC#15010-1051.87 Ctg01_12404, whole genome shotgun sequence.